rnacentral:rRNA from 1 species
UACGUAGGGGGCAAGCGUUGUCCGGAAUUAUUGGGCGUAAAGCGCGCGCAGGCGGUUUCUUAAGUCUGGUGUAUAAGUGCGGGGCUCAACCCCGUGAGGCACUGGAAACUGGGAGACUUGAGUGCAGAAGAGGAGAGCGGAAUUCCACGUGUAGCGGUGAAAUGCGUAGAGAUGUGGAGGAACACCAGUGGCGAAGGCGGCUCUCUGGACUGUAACUGACGCUGAGGCGCGAAAGCGUGGGGAGCAAACAGG